rnacentral:lncRNA from 1 species
ACACUUUCCACUCAUCUCCUUUCCCAUACCGUAUCUCUUGCAAGUCGUUUUCUCUUUUUGAUCUGGCUUGUUCUCUUUAAGGACAUCUUCAAUGUGUAUAUUAACAAUCAUUUUCCAAUGUUUUGGCUUCACCUCUUAUGCUGAGGUAAUAUCAGGAUGCUCUGACACUGGUGGCUGUGGCUGCCACCUAAGAAGCCUCCUUGCCAGCUCGUAAUUUGUUUCUUCCCUCUACCUCUUCAAGCCUCCCGGCAGACUUCCUUUUUUUGUUUUAAUGUGACUCUGCUUCGGGACACUUGCUUCUAGCCAUAACUGAGUGGCUAUAUUGGUCUAAUCUUCCCACUGAAAAUAAUUAUAAAGGCCUGAGAAGAUAAAUAAAGCAAGUAUUUGAAGGCAUCUGGGAGUAACCAACACAGAAAAGGACGUGGGGCUAUGAUUCCUGAGAGGAGGGAAGCAACUGAGAUUGCCAUUGUAUGGUGGUGGGAACCAACAGCCCUGGAGAAUGCCCCAGAUGGUGGGGCAUCUAUUUGGUGCAUGUUUAGGUUUGCCUGUCUACAUGCUAGCAAAUCUCUGAAGACAGCCAAAGCCUUCGGAAGGUCUUGUGAGGCUCUGAGGACUGAUAUAUGUGAGAAGAGCCUAGACUAAAUGCAGUUCCAGGAUCAUGUCACAUGCAUGAUCCAGUGUCUCCAGUGGAGACUUGGACUUAGAAGAUGCCCCCUAAAUACCUGUUGAAUACAAUUUAAAAAGAUGUUAAUUAUAAAAUAUUUCAUGGAGGUAGAACAUUUUUAUUAAUUUAUUCACUAAA